AGAACGAACGCUGGCGGCAUGCCUAAUACAUGCAAGUCGAACGAAGGCUUCGGCCUUAGUGGCGCACGGGUGCGUAACGCGUGGGAAUCUGCCCCUUGGUUCGGAAUAACAGUUGGAAACGACUGCUAAUACCGGAUGAUGACGAAAGUCCAAAGAUUUAUCGCCAAGGGAUGAGCCCGCGUAGGAUUAGCUAGUUGGUGAGGUAAAGGCUCACCAAGGCGACGAUCCUUAGCUGGUCUGAGAGGAUGAUCAGCCACACUGGGACUGAGACACGGCCCAGACUCCUACGGGAGGCAGCAGUAGGGAAUAUGGACAAUGGGCGAAAGCCUGAUCCAGCAAUGCCGCGUGAGUGAUGAAGGCCUUAGGGUUGCAAAGCUCUUUUACCCGAGAUGAUAAUGACAGUAUCGGAGAAUAAGCCCCGGCUAACUCCGUGCCAGCAGCUGC
rnacentral:rRNA from 1 species